AGCAGCCGCGGUAAUUCCAGCUCCAAUAGCGUAUAUUAAAGUUGUUGCAGUUAAAAGCUCGUAGUUGAAUUUCGGGGUUAGUAGGUUGGUCAUGCCUCUGGUAUGUACUGGUCUCACUGAUUCCUCCUUCCUGAUGAGCCGUAAUGCCAUUAAUUUGGUGUUGCGGGGAAUUUGGACUGUUACUUUGAAAAAUUGAGUGUUUAAAGCAAGCUAACGCUUGAAUACAUUAGCAUGGAAUAAUAGAAAUAGGACGUUCGAUCCUAUUUUGUUGGUUUCUAGGAUUGACGUAAUGAUUAAUAGGGAUAGGUUG
rnacentral:rRNA from 1 species